rnacentral:rRNA from 1 species
GACGAACGCUGGCGGCGUGCUUAACACAUGCAAGUCGAACGGAAAGGCCCUGCUUUUGUGGGGUGCUCGAGUGGCGAACGGGUGAGUAACACGUGAGUAACCUGCCCUUGACUUUGGGAUAACUUCAGGAAACUGGGGCUAAUACCGGAUAGGAGCUCCUGCUGCAUGGUGGGGGUUGGAAAGUUUCGGCGGGUGGGGAUGGACUCGCGGCUUAUCAGCUUGUUGGUUGGGUAGUGGCUUACCAAGGCUUUGGCGGGUAGGCGGCCUGAGAGGGUGGACGGCCACAUUGGGACUGAGAUACGGCCCAGACUCCUACGGGAGGCAGCAGUGGGGAAUAUUGCACAAUGGGCGGGAGCCUGAUGCAGCAACGCCGCGUGCGGGAUGACGGCCUUCGGGUUGUAAACCGCUUUCGGCUGUGACGAAGCGUGAGUGACGGUAAUGGGUAAAGAAGCACCGGCUAACUACGUG